rnacentral:lncRNA from 1 species
UCCAAUGGCAACUCUGCCAAGGCGCCUAUGAGAGCCUCUUGGCUUUUACCUGGUCUGCGAGAAAUCAAACUUUGGACACAAGUCAUGAAGCCGACAAGCCCGGGAGACACAGUGUCAGAAUUACAAGGAACACUAUAAGGCCUGUUAGAGAAGAAAGGGUAGAAUCCCGAGAAUGUUUUCCCCACAGUGCUGAUAAGGAGAGACCACUAUCCCAUCUACUGCUACAGCUCUGGAGACAUAGCUCUCCCAUCUGUCAUAUAGAACACAAGGACCAAUCUGCAGAGAAAGAGCAUCCAAACCUGAUCCAGUGGACACUGGGGAAAAACUCACCACAGCUGAGUGUGGAAAAACAAGGCCAACACACACAUCUCUGCACAGAUACAUCUCCCAUCAAGAAACUAAAGUGUUAAUUUACAGGGCACUGUUGCAGACCCACUUCAGCUGGAAGCUAGGAACAUGGACAAGGAGCCUCUCUACCACCGAGGGAGAGAGAGGAAUGUGCUCUUGUCCUGGCAUUGCAUCCACAGGAGGGGCAAGAAAUUCUUUGAAGGUCAGUAACCCCAUACCCCAAUUAACAGUGCUUAAGUGUGAGGCUCCCUCAGAACAUCAGAGAUAUCCUCACUCCCUCACCCCUGCCACCAGGCUAAAAA